UAAUACCAGUGUGUGUGUGUGGGUAAGAGAGAGGGUGACAAGUCUAGCAGUGGUGUGUGUGGGGUAAGAGAGAGGGUGCAAGUCUACCAGUGUGUGUGUGUGGGUAAGAGAGAGGGUGCAAGUCUACCAGUGUGUGUGUGUGGGUAAGAGAGAGGGUGCAAGUCUACCAGUGUGUGUGUGGGUACAGAGAGAGGGUGCAAGUCUACCA
rnacentral:lncRNA from 1 species